rnacentral:tRNA from 1 species
UUGACUAAAGCCAAAUUAGCGGCAUAUUAGUGUUAAUAAUAAAAUUGGGGACCUACCCCUGGUCAAA